rnacentral:rRNA from 1 species
CAGCAGCCACGGUAAUACGUAGGGUGCAAGCGUUAAUCGGAAUUACUGGGCGUAAAGCGUGCGCAGGCGGUUCUAUAAGACAGAUGUGAAAUCCCCGGGCUCAACCUGGGAACUGCAUUUGUGACUGUAGAGCUGGAGUGCGGCAGAGGGGGAUGGAAUUCCGCGUGUAGCAGUGAAAUGCGUAGAUAUGCGGAGGAACACCGAUGGCGAAGGCAAUCCCCUGGGCCUGCACUGACGCUCAUGCACGAAAGCGUGGGGAGCAAACAGGAUUAGAUACCCCCGUAGUCCCUGUCUCUUAUAC